GCCGGCCGGGGAGAUGGAGAGAGCGUGCAGUUAGGUGGGGCGUGGGGAGAGGAGCGGUGGAAGACGGGCCAGCAGUGGUGAGCUGGAGCCUCGGGCCCAGGCCAGGCGGCCCUGGGGGGCCACAGGGUUGGUGAGCAAGAGGGCCGUGGGCCCAGGUGGCUUUGCCAAAGGAGGGGAAGCAACUGCGGUUCAGCCAAGACACAGGAGGCAAGGCUGUGCCCGCCACUUGUCCGUCCGUCCCUUGGGCCUCGUGUCCUUGUGGUUGGAGAAGGAGGAAGCUGGGAGGGCGCGGGGGCCACCUGGGCCCUUGUGUGCCCUCCUCCCUUCCUUGGUGGCUGCGGAGGGUUUUUGGAAGAGGACAGGGCCAUGUUGCUUGGAGGUGGGUGGACCCUGGUGGGAAGGGAUGGAGGGGACGGGACAGAGCCUGGGCGAGGCCAGCGUCGGAGGGAAGCCUAGGCCUCUGACCUCCGCCUGCCCUCUGCAGCCCCGGUUCCGCUGUCUGCACAGUCUGCAGGGCCUCCCCGACCCCGGUCCUCGAUCAAGGGCCAUCUCAGCCCCCUGCAGACGUUCUCGGUUGUCACGCCUCUGGGGCCUGGCAGUACAAGUGGAUCUAGUCGGUGGAAGCCAGGGGUGUUGCUCGGUGCCCUGCUGCAUAUGAGACGGGCCCCAAACAACAGAAAACUCCCCACCCACAACACCAGGAGGCUGAGGGGAAAUCACCAGUGAAAUGACAGGUCUGUCUCCAGGCUCGGGGCUCGUGGGGCCCCCAGGGCUGGCCCUCGGGCCAGGCCUGGGCUCCGCAGCAGGUGGGCGUGUGCCGGGCAGCGGGGCCUCCAGCAGCAGCUCGCUCCCUGUUUCCUGCAGGAGGUCACCUGAGGGCAGAGGAUGCUGCAGGCAGGGCGGCCGGCGAAGGGGAAGGCGGAAGGAUUACACAGGGGACUUCCGCUGGAGGCCGCAGCGGGGGAAGGCUCCUAUUGACAGAAGCAGCAGACGGAACUGCCGAUGCGCCUGCCAGGUUGAGCUCCUGGGGCCCCGCUCCUGCCCCGUGGGCUGCUCAUAGACCCUGCCCUCAAAUGCAAGGGCGCUCACCCACCCUCCGCCCAGCCCCUAAGCUGCACCACUUGAUGCCUACCAGGCCUUGAACCAAGGGCCCCUCAGUCCACUCUGCCAACUGCCGGGAGGAUUGGAGCCGGCGGGGUGGGGUGGAGGGGUGUGCAGGAAAGCGGUGGUGGGGCGGGGCGGGGGGGGGCGGGGGGGGGGACGGAGUGGCUGCAGGCUCACAGGCUUAGUAGGGCGUGUCUCCCAGCCUCAUUUUGCAAAUGAGGAAGCUGAGGCUCAGAGAGGGAAGUGAGCUGACCUGCGUCACACAGCGGCAGGCGGCAGGCAAGGGGGGCUUCUGCCCCAGUGCCCCCCACCCCGGUUCCAGAACACACUUGGGUGCGGCGCCGUCCACCACCACCGUCUGACGAGCAGGACCCUGCAGGGCCCAGGAUGACCUCCUGUCUGACGGCCCCUCCCUGGGGCUCCCGGGGAGGAAGGCUGCAGUGGCCAUGAACGUUGGCCAAGCAACCACAGCUGACUCAGAAACCUCCUUGCAGCCAGAGGAAGCUGGGAAGAGGCAAGCCCGCUGGGCGCCCACGGGCCAGCUCUGGGAUCAUUCUGGAGGAUCACUUCCCUUGACAACGAUGUCAGCAUACAGAGGCCUGGGGCUCCUCGCAGGGCCCCGACUUGAUGGGACCAAGGUUCGGGGCGCAGGGCUGAAGCCCAGGACCACGCUGUGGCACUCUGGCACCUCUCUGGCCCGCAGUUUCCCUGGCUGCCUGUGGUGGGAGGUGGGCACAGUUCCAAGCUGGUUCCAAGCCCAAGGUGCUUGAGUCCCUGCUAGGAGCUGCAGCAGAGUGAGGCGCUGGCCGCGUGGUCUUGGAGGGCCCCGAUCCUACGAGGGGUGCUCUGCUCUAGCACCUUCCUUGGCUACCGCCUCACCACCCUCUGGGAGGGCUGGCCUCCCCCGCUCCCCUCUGCACAGCCGAGUUCAGCCAGACUAUCCUCCCAUCCUCCCG
rnacentral:lncRNA from 1 species